ACCAAUGGCUUAGAGAUUUUGAGGAGUUGAUGUCACUUCAACAGCAUAAUCAUCUUGUAAAUACUAUACAGUGAUAUUAUGAAAUAUUACCAUUUAAAAUAAUGUUUUUGUAUUUAAAUAGUAAUUUAUUCACAUGAUUGCAAAGCUUAAUUUUCAGAUUCAGUGUCACAUGAUCCUUCAGAAGUUUAAUAUGGUGCUGAUUUUUGUAGAAACAAUGAUGCAUUUUUUUCUGUAUUUUAUUGAUGAAUCAAAAGUUCAAAAGAACAGCAUUUACAUUAUAAAUGUCUUUAAUGUAACUUUUGACCAGUGUAAUGCAUUCUUGCUGAGUAAGUGUGUGUGUGUGUGUAUAUAUGUAUGGUCCCUAAUUGCAUGAUAUUGACAAAAUGAAUGCUUGAAAAAUGAGUUAAUGUCAGUCUGAUUCAUUGUGCUGACGUAAACAAAUCUGCACCAUUAAGGUUAGUGUAGCACAUGACCAUUAGCUGUCCAUUGGUUUUUUACUUUAGGGCAUUCUCCAUGGCUGCUAAUGCUCACUAUGCACAUUUCUAGAUAGUGAAACAUUUUGACAGGCGCCUGCUCAAACAGGGCUUCCUGCCAGAGCAGGGUUAGACUGGCAGGACCAGAAUGAACCAAUAGAAUUCUGACAUCUGUGUCUGGCACAGGGAUGGAUAUUUCGGGUACAAGCAUAGGUGGCACUAGAGAUGGCAAAGCACAUGCAAUUAGCAAUGCAAGGCAUCCUGGAACACUAGAUAUCUAUAGAGACCUGUCAUAUAAUAAAAAAAACAAAGACCGCCCUACUGUUUUUUUUUUUUUCCACUGAAUAUCCUGUUUCCUUCAGUUUUCAUAUUAUGAGACAAAUGCAAACAGAGCACUAGUGAUUAAUGGCAUAAGCUUUUUUUAUGACAAACAAAUUUAUCAUUACAAACUGCUGCUGCCACCAGUGUUGUUUCUAUUCUAGUGCAGCAGAGACAGAAAAGACUGUUCAACCUGCAGCAGAUAAAAACAAGCAUCUGCUGAACAUCAAACAGUGAACCGAAGACCCAUGAUAAGACAAAACAGAAGAGAACCAUCACAGAGCACUUGAUAACACCUGUUGUUUCAUAAAGAGCUGAAAACUUGCACAAAAAGGAAGCUGAGAUAUUCUACUGUGGCUGACAUCUGAAAGAUUCAUUCAGACAGGCCUCUAGAGAAGAAAAUGAAAAGAAAGAAAAAAAUUAAGAGUGGGAUGAAAGGAGGAGAGGAAAGCCCCCUCCCUCUGCUUUGGCUUUGUGACCGCAGAUCCUGGCAUGGUGACAGAUAUGCUGACAUCACCACGUUCACACCCAUCCACAUACACACGCAAUACAAUCCCUGCACAGAGGGAGGACAAAGGAUCUGAGUCUCGCUUGGUAGGAAACUAAGGCCUGUUCCAUUGUUCCCUAUUGAGCAAAAUCCCUUAUGCACAAAAAAAACAAUGGCAGGUAUAAAACUAACAAACAAAAAAUAUCAUUGUGACAGAUAACAAAAGGGAAACAAUCGCCUUGCCGGAUACUUGGGAGAUGAGGAUAGGCACGCAGGCAAGUUAUUUUUGACCACGGAUCCUCUGCAGCAGACUUGGGAUCAUUAGGAUUUGCACAGAUUUAGCAGUUUUCAUAUUUUGGCUUGAAUUAUGAAAAUAACUGUGGUAAUAAUGUGUGCAGGCAUUCAGAGAUCAUAAAAAUGUCACCCAUAUAUACAGUUCACCAAUGAACUGUUUAUAUAACACCUGAUUGUUUGGCUGCUGUCAAAUAAUGAAAUUACAUAAUUUUAAACGUGUGCAAUAAUACAUUUUUAUGACUGAUUAAAUAAGCAUGAGCAUAUCUUAAAAGUGAGGUUCUGAUCUGUUAAGAAAAAAAAGAACAGUUACAUUUAGAAACUUUAAAGCUUUUGUGUUUAUUAUUAUUAUUAUUAUUAUUUGUUAAAACAUUUUCUUCUAUUCAGGCCUAAUUUGCAGAGACAACUAAAAUUUGGGUUGUUUUCUCUUAAAAGUGCAAACAGAAGGGGAGAGAGGGAAAUUUUUUGCUUUGGAAACCCAUUUAAAAAAACAUUUAAAAAAAUAAUUUUUGCUAGUUGUAAAACUCCAAAAAUUUUGUCUUAUAGAGGUGUACCUUGUAUGAAGAAUGUGGUUAAAUUUAAAUAAAGUAAAAAUGGUAAUGAAAAUUAAAAGGAUCUCAUGAUUCCCAUAAAAUGUAAAUGAGCUUUAUAAAAACUAAAAUAUGUGAGACGGCCUGACUUAUCAUAAGAUGGCAGAAGUUAAAGAGAGGAUACAGAUUUCUUCCCUUGUCCCCUCAAACAGGAAACUGCUGUUAAAACUCCCCCCUCUCCUUUCAGCAACUUCAAAAUCCUGAAAAAUCAUUCUCACAUUAUGAAUUUCAACACUAGGGCUUUAAAUAGAAAUCUGAAGUGUGGGACCAGACAGACAGUAAAUUACAUAAGGAAGACACACCACAGCACUCUGACUCUUAACCGCGGCAAACACCUGCUCAGCUUUUUAAAACGUAUCCACAACCUAUUAGCUGUUAUGGUU